rnacentral:piRNA from 1 species
UGAUGAGUGUGCCCACCGGAUGUGAAGGGU